rnacentral:rRNA from 1 species
UACGUAGGGUGCGAGCGUUAAUCGGAAUUACUGGGCGUAAAGCGUGCGCAGGCGGUCUGUUAAGACCGAUGUGAAAUCCCCGGGCUUAACCUGGGAACUGCAUUGGUGACUGGCAGGCUUUGAGUGUGGCAGAGGGAGGUAGAAUUCCACGUGUAGCAGUGAAAUGCGUAGAGAUGUGGAGGAAUACCGAUGGCGAAGGCAGCCUCCUGGGCCAACACUGACGCUCAUGCACGAAAGCGUGGGGAGCAAA